AGCGAACGCUGGCGGAAUGCUUAACACAUGCAAGUCGCACGGGCCUUUCGGGGUCAGUGGCGGACGGGUGAGUAACGCGUAGGAAUGUGUCCAGGGAUGGGGGAUAACGCUGGGAAACUGGCGCUAAUACCGCAUAUGGCCUGAGGGUCAAAGCCGCGAGGCGUCUUUGGAGCAGCCUGCGUCCGAUUAGGUAGUUGGUGGGGUAAAGGCCUACCAAGCCUGCGAUCGGUAGCUGGUCUGAGAGGAUGAUCAGCCACACUGGAACUGAGACACGGUCCAGACUCCUACGGGAGGCAGCAGUGGGGAAUAUUGGACAAUGGGCGGAAGCCUGAUCCAGCAAUUCCGCGUGGGUGAAGAAGGUCUUCGGAUUGUAAAGCCCUUUCGGCGGGGACGAUGAUGACGGUACCCGCAGAAGAAGCCCCGGCUAACUUCGUG
rnacentral:rRNA from 1 species